CAUAAAAGUUGUUCAAAAUCGAGUCUUCUAAACUGUAUUCAAAUUUCAUGAAAAUCCAACGGUUGAAUCUUCCAAAAUCAAGUCCCUCUUCGAAAUGGGUCCAGUUCUUCUCUUGAGAUUGAAUUCAAUUCAUGAAGUACUCAUUUCAAUCUUGAGCAAGUUGAAGCCAUCAAGGAGAGAGAGGCAAAAGGAGAACAUAUGCAAUCUGGGUACCUCGCCCAGCCCAACACCAACGCCGCCCAAGCUGCCCAGCGCCCUCCGAAACCCGCCUAUCUGUUCUGGGUAUUUGAGUUUUUGGUAAGGUUUUGCUGGGUGAAGUGUUUUGAUUCAAAAUCUCAUUUGGGUAUUUGAGUUUUUGUGAGGUUUUCUAUCAAGAUCGAAUUUUUGGGUUUAUGUUAGUUUUGGGGCACACAUUUUGAUUGGAAUUGGGUCCAGUGUGGUUUGGAAUGAAGAAAGUGAUGGGACUGUACUCGAUUGAGCUCACUAAGUUGUGAAUGAAUCGAAAAAAUUGAAUUGAAUUAGUUAACGAAAUCCGGGAUCUAGUGAUGAUUCUGGUCAUGGGUAUGCAUAUUCUCGAUCUAGUGAGAAGAUGCUGGAGGAUGAGAGCUUCCGGAUAAUAGAGGGUCUUUAACCAGACGCAGAUAAACAGAGGAGAGGAGAGAUGUGGAAGGAGAAGAGGUAAAACGCAAAAAGAAUAAAAUUAAUUUAAAAAAAAAAGAGUG